rnacentral:rRNA from 1 species
ACGAACGCUGGCGGCAGGCCUAACACAUGCAAGUCGAGCGCCCUUUCGGGGGAGCGGCGGACGGGUGAGUAACGCGUGGGAAUAUGCCCUUCUCUACGGAAUAGCCUCGGGAAACUGAGAGUAAUACCGUAUACGCCCUAUGGGGGAAAGAUUUAUCGGGGAAGGAUUAGCCCGCGUUGGAUUAGGUAGUUGGUGGGGUAAUGGCCUACCAAGCCGACGAUCCAUAGCUGGUUUGAGAGGAUGAUCAGCCACACUGGGACUGAGACACGGCCCAGACUCCUACGGGAGGCAGCAGUGGGGAAUCUUAGACAAUGGGGGCAACCCUGAUCUAGCCAUGCCGCGUGAGUGAUGAAGGCCUUAGGGUUGUAAAGCUCUUUCAGCUGGGAAGAUAAUGACGGUACCAGCAGAAGAAGCCCCGGCUAACUCCGUG